rnacentral:rRNA from 1 species
UGGGGAAUAUUGGACAAUGGGCGAAAGCCUGAUCCAGCAAUGCCGCGUGAGUGAUGAAGGCCUUAGGGUUGUAAAGCUCUUUUACCCGAGAUGAUAAUGACAGUAUCGGGAGAAUAAGCUCCGGCUAACUCCGUGCCAGCAGCCGCGGUAAUACGGAGGGAGCUAGCGUUGUUCGGAAUUACUGGGCGUAAAGAGCGCGCAGGCGGUCGUUCAAGUCGCGUGUGAAAGCCCCCGGCUCAACUGGGGAGGGUCACGCGAUACUGAUCGACUCGAAGGCAGGAGAGGGUAGUGGAAUUCCCGGUGUAGUGGUGAAAUGCGUAGAUAUCGGGAGGAACACCAGUGGCGAAGGCGACUACCUGGCCUGUUCUUGACGCUGAGGCGCGAAAGCUAGGGGGAGCGAAACGGGAUUAGAUACCCCGGUAGUCCUAGCCGUAAACGAUGGACACUAGGUGUUGGUGGUAUCAACCCCGCCAGUGCCGAAGCUAACGCAUUAAGUGUCCCG